GUUUCUGUAGUGUAGUGGUCAUCACGUUUGCCUCACACACGCAAAAGGCCCAAGGUUCGAAACCUGGCAGAAAACA